AAAAUUGUGCAAAUGCAACACAAGUGCAUUGCACAUGCAUGUGCAACUACGCUUUAACUGAGAAGAAACUUAUACAACGAAAACUGAAUCAUCUUUCCAAGAAUCUGCAGUGAAAUUUGGGUGAUGUAGAAAUCUAGAUCGCAUAAUAGGAGAAUGGUCACAAUCAAUAGCAAAGUGAAGAUGGGAUUCAAUGGCUUCAUACUUGCUGUCCUAUUGACGUUGACUGGAGCUAGCCUUGGAUAUGAGUGUGAUAAGUCAGCCACAGUAUGCGAGACGACGCUGAUAAUCAGACAUAGGCUUACCAUGAUGCAUCCCACAGAACAGCAAGUCUACCCAGCAAAUGGUAAACUCUACAAAUAUGACGACCUAACACAAAGUACAGCCAUUCCCGUAGACGAGGUUAUGACUGCUGACGGAUGGGAAGACAACCGACUAGUUGUUGUAGCAAACGAGAGUCUCCCAGGCCCGCCAAUUAUAGUAUAUGAGGGACAGAGACUUAAAGUUCAUGUCAUCAACAAAAUGGCGUCUGAUACUUUGACCAUACACUGGCAUGGUAUUCCUCAAAAGCUGAGCCCUUGGAUGGACGGUGUCCCAUUUGUCACUCAGUGCCCUAUCCUUUCGGGGCAGACAUUUACGUAUGACUUUAUCGCAGAACCAAAGGGAACGUAUUGGUACCAUUCGCACGUGGGUGAUCAGCGAGCCAAAGGGAUGAAUGGUGCUUUUAUUAUAAGAGAGCGUACGUCAUCAGUCUCGGAACAAAUCAUGACAGUACAAGACUGGAACCACAACUGGGGGGCAGACAUGGAUCACCAAAAGUUGCUGCUAGGCACUUUUGUCAACCGUAUUCCUGAACCAUUGAGGAAUUCGGUAGAUGGAGGCCUGUUUGAUCCAUUCUACGUUACAUCCGUUCUUAUCAAUGGCAGAAGCCGUUAUUACAACAAAUCAGGCCAACAUAAUGAGGCUCCUUUAUCGGUAUUUUCCGUUGAAAGGGGGACGACCUACAGAUUCAGAGUUAUCCACGUCGGAGCCCUUUAUCCCAUACGGAUAUCAAUCGACAAACAUCCCCUUACUCUAGUCGCAUCAGACGGAUACGAUUUUCAACCGGUGGAAGCGGAAUCUUUUAUCAUAAACCCGGGUGAGAGAUAUGACUUUAACAUAAAUACGGACCAAGUAACUGGAAACUACUGGAUACGAGCCGAAACUCUGGAAGUGAACGCACAUAAGUCUGAAGCUGUGCUCCGCUACACAGGUGCAGAUGCGAAUCAAUAUCCUUCAACGGUACGGAAGACCUGUACACCAGCUGAUAGGUGUUUGGUGGUAAAUUGUCCAUUUACGACCUAUCCUGCUGAUCAUCACACAGACUGUCUGAGGUUUGACCAUCUUCGAUCUGCAGUUAACAACGAUCCUGCUCCUGAACCGACAUCUAUGGAUAUGUUCAAAGAACAUUUUUUGAAUUUUGGUCUUCCUGAAGAAAUAUCGUCAGUAAACGGAAGGGAGUUUAGGGUUCCUACUGUGUCUGCUCUUACGCAACCAUUAGAGAUAACUUCUACUUGUGACAAAGAAGAUUGUGGAGAGGACAAGACAUGCACAUGUACAUACUCACUUACCACCUAUCAUAACGACGUUGUACAACUUGUGUUGAUGAAUAUGGGGGCAGGAACAGGUGACGCACAUCCAGUUCAUCUCCAUGGUUACUCGUUCUAUGUACUGAAAAUGGGAUAUGCCACAUACAAUAUGACAACCUCAAAAUUCAUAUCUCAAAACAAUGAUAUAGAUUGUCGCGGAAGUGGAGAUAUGACAACAAGUUUCUGUAAUGAUGCUACGUGGAGAAACUCUAACUGGCUUGAAAAUAAUGUUCCGGGAUUGAAUUUGAUUAAUCCUCCGCGAAAGGACACGCUGAUUAUACCUAGCGGUGGAUAUGCUGUUAUCAGGAUCAAGGCAGAUAACCCUGGUGCGUGGAUGUUUCAUUGUCAUAUCCAAGUUCAUGGCGUUUUUGGAAUGAGAAUGCUCCUCAAUAGUUCCUACGGUAUGCACCCAGCGCCACCUAAAUCAUUUCCUGUGUGCCAUGAAUAUCCAUCCUCCUUCCGUGAACAAUUCGAGGACCAACGUCAGGUGACUCCAACAACAGGAACAGUCAUAGAUGACGGUGGAUACGGUAUCAAGACUUUCUGGAUCAUGUUUGCAGUUAUGGCUGUAAUUAUCAUACUGUUGAUUGCAUACAAUAUAUACGUAAGAAGAAAAGUACAGGUUUACAAAGAGCAGCUGGAAUCUUCUUCACCAGCAACGAUAAGCUCAAAGGAGAAUCCGGUCUUUUCCAAAACUUAGAAUGACUUUUGACAUGAUAUAUUUUGCAAAAGUAAUAACUAUUAUGAAAAAAACCAAACGGUUAGCAUUGAAGGACUAACAACAUAUAUACCAAAUUUCCAGAUAUGAUAGUACGUAGGAAAUGGCUUAAACAUAAUCUAAACAAAACAAAACAUUUUAAAAUGUUUUCAUCAGUGACAAUGUUAUUUGUAAAGUAAUAUAAAAACAUAGAAAAACAGUAAGCACAUGAUAUUUCAUACACGUGUUUGAUAUAGCAAAAACUACGAAAGCCUAUUCGUUUCAUUUUGAAAAGCAACAAAAAAUUAUGUAUUUUGUUAAAACACGUUAGUUAUCCCGUUAAAACGCGUUAGUUAUCUCGUUAAAACCCGAUAUUUAUCUCGUUAAAACGCGUUAGU